UGAUGACUUUCAGUUCAGAGUAACUGUCAAGAAACACCCAAUGACGAGAAGGGGAGUGCUAUCCACAGUAGCUUCCAUCUACGAUCCUUUGGGUUUCGUAGCACCAUUUGUUUUACGUGGGAAGUUGAUCUUGCAACAGUUGAGUCGAGAGAAAGCUAGUUGGGAUGAACCACUUUCAGAGGAGUGCAGAUCACAGUGGCAGUCAUGGUUACAAGAUCUCCAUAACUUAUGUCAAGUAAAGAUUAAGAGGUGCUACAUGCCAGCAAGCUUCAUAGAUGUCAAGCAGUACGAAUUACAUCACUUCUCAGAUGCUAGCUUCACAGGUUGUGGGGAGUGCACUUAUCUAAGAGCAGUCAACUCUAAUGGCAGCGUACACUGCUCACUUGUCAUGGGGAAAGCGCGUGUUGCCCCCACUAAGGUCACAACAGUUCCAAGGCUUGAGCUGUCUGCAGCAGUGGUUGCUGCGAAGAUGGGUGCCGUGUUAAAACAUGAGCUCGAAAUAGACAACCUUAAGGAAUAUUAUUGGACUGAUUCAAAGGUUGUUCUCGGGUACAUUAAUAAUGAUGCCAGAUGCUUUCAUGUUUUCGUGGCAAAUAGGAUCCAGAGAAUCAAGGCCACCACAGAUGCCAACCAAUGGUAUCAUGUGCAGUCUGAAGACAAUCCGGCGGACCAUGGUUCGAGAGGGUUAUCGGCAGAUCAGCUCGUUGCUUCAAAUUGGUUCACUGGCCCAGACUUUCUGUGGGAGAAGGAGCUACCCACAAAAGAUGCCAAGGUGGGAGAGGUUAGUGACAAUGAUCCAGAACUUCGAUGGGCUCAGGUGCUCAACACCAGUGCAAGGGCAAAUAGAACAUUGUUGGACUGCCUGACUAAGUUUUCUGACUGGAAAAGAGUUGUUAAGGCUAUUGCUUGCCUUAAACGUCAUGCUAAGCAAGUUAAGGGUCUUAGUCCCAAACUCAAUGGAAGUACAAGUGUUGAGGAAAGACAACAAGCUGAACUUUUCAUAAUCAGAUUGGUCCAAAGAGAAGUAUUCAGCAGUGAAAUCAAGAAUUUACAGCAAUGCAAGGACGUAAAAUCCAAAGACAAAGCAAAAAGGCUAUGCAAAUUAAGUCCAUUUUUGGAUGAGCAGGGUGUGCUGAGAGUAGGCGGCCGCUUGACAAGAAGUGAGCUUCAUCCACAUGUUAAACAUCCUGCUAUUCUGCCAAAAACAAAUCACGUGUCUUCUUUAUUGAUCAAGCAUUAUCAUGAGAAGGUACAGCAUCAAGGAAGAGGUAUGACUGUAAAUGAAUUGCGAUCUAAUGGGAUAUGGGUCAUUGGAUGCAGCAGUGCAGUUUCCUCACAUGUCUUUAAGUGCGUCACAUGCAGAAAGUAUAGAAGGAACACACAAGAUCCAAAAAUGGCAGAUUUGCCAAAGGACAGAAUGGAAAUGACCCCUCCAUUCACAUAUUGUGGCAUAGAUUGCUUUGGACCAUUCUAUGUGAGGGAUGCAAGAAAGGAACUGAAGAAGUAUGGUCUUCUCUUCACUUGUAUGUGUUGCAGAGCUGUACAUAUCGAAAUGCUUGAUGACCUUAGUUCAGAUGCUUUCAUCAAUGCAUUGUGCGUAUUCAUUGCAAUACGUGGGAAUGUAAGGCAGUUGAGAUGUGAUCAAGGUACCAACUUUGUGGGUGCAAAAAGAGAGUUCAUGGACUCAAUGAAGAACUUGGCUCAUGAGCAGUUGAAGGAAUAUGGCUGUGAGUUUGUAAUGAAUCCCCCAUCAUCCAGCCAUAUGGGAGGAAUUUGGGAGAGGCAAAUAAGGACAAUCAGAAGUGUUCUAACAGCAAUCCUUGAUCAGUCUGCUAAAAGACUUGACACCGCCUCACUUAGGACAUUUUUGUAUGAAGUGAUGGCUAUUAUAAAUAGCAGACCGCUGACAACAGAGCACCUGAAUGAUCCAACAAGUCUUGAACCGCUCACACCAAAUCACAUUCUUCUGAUGAAGUCUAACAUCAUAUCGCCACCUCCGGGUCAGUUCGUGAGUCAAGAUUUAUACCUGCGUAAGAGAUGGCGUCAGGUGCAGUUCUUGGCGAAUGAGUUUUGGACAAGGUGGAGGAGGGAGUGUCUUCUUAAUCUCCAGCAAAGACAGAUAUGGCAUGGGGAUAAAAGAAACACCAAGGUCAAUGACAUUGUUAUUCUACAAGAGGACAGUGCUCCGCAAAAUCACUGGAGACUAGCAAGAGUCACAGACGUGUACCCCAGCUCUGAUGGAAGGGUCAGAAAGGUAAGGCUGUUGGUUAGUGACUCAACUUUGGACAAACAGGGAAAACGGACAUCUAAGCCAGUUUAUCUUGAAAGGCCAGUGCAAAAAAUAGUUCUACUGGUUGAAGCAGAAUAAGCAUGUGUUAAACUGUUGUAAAUGCUUAUAACUUGAAGAUUCAAAUCUGUAAGGAAAUCUCAAGUUGAGAUUUGGUGGGAAUUUAACUGCCAUAAAUGUAAAUUAUGUCAGUUUGCUUAAUUUAUUGUGUUCAUGUAUGUUAUUUAUUUCCUUUAUUUAUUGUUGUUCCUUUUGAGGUAGGAACUAAGUUUCAUUCUGUGUUGCGCACAGGCCCUUUUAAGUGACGUAAAGGGAAGCCAAAAGAGCAUGUGCAAAGAAGCUAAGCUAUAACUUAACUAAGUCAUAAGAAGGAAUAAAUAAGCAGUUUUAAAGUAAAGGAAAGCUGUAAAGAAGAAGAAGAAAUUGGGAAUUACUUUCGUUAAGUUUUUGGUCCUGAAGCGGACUCAUUCCCUCACGGUUACGUGCAGCCAGCGAGAAGUGUGACAGAGGAAUAAAUCCAUCAGUGAAUGAA